rnacentral:misc_RNA from 1 species
CCGAAUCGUCGACACGAGUUGUUGCUGGCCCCUGCAUGGGGGCAUGUGCACGCUCUGUUUGCAUCCACCCACACCUGUGCACCCUCUGUAGCUCUGCGGUCCGGGGGACCCCCCUCUUCCGUCCGCGGUUCUACGUCUUACACACACACUGUAACACGGUUUUAUGGAAUGUACGCAGCGUUUAACGCAAUACAAUA